rnacentral:misc_RNA from 1 species
AGUCCACUUAAGCCCUGCUUAGUGUUGGGAGAUCACCGCCCCCCGCGGCGGUGCCUCCUCAAAGUUAGCGAGCGGAGUCGUGUCGUCCUCUGAGCUUAGUAAUUACUCUCUAGCUUGCGAGCGAGGCGCGCCCCCUGCCGUAAAACACCCAACUUCUUUAG